rnacentral:rRNA from 1 species
UACGUAGGGGGCUAGCGUUGUCCGGAAUCAUUGGGCGUAAAGCGCGUGUAGGCGGUUCGGUAAGUCCGCUGUGAAAGUCGGGGGCUCAACCCUCGAAUGCCGGUGGAUACUGUCGGGCUAGAGUGCGGAAGGGGCAAUCAGAAUUCUUGGUGUAGCGGUGAAAUGCGUAGAUAUCAAGAGGAAUACCUGAGGUGAAGACGGGUUGCUAGGCCGACACUGACGCUGAAGCGCGAAAGCCAGGGGAGCAAACGGG